AUUGAACGCUGGCGGCAGGCCUAACACAUGCAAGUCGAACGAGUGGCGGACGGGUGAGUAAUGUCUGGGAAACUGCCUGAUGGAGGGGGAUAACUACUGGAAACGGUAGCUAAUACCGCAUACCAUCAGAUGUGCCCAGAUGGGAUUAGCUUGUGGGUGGGGUAACGGCUCACCAAGGCGACGAUCCCUAGCUGGUCUGAGAGGAUUACCAGCCACACUGAAACUUAGAAGCGGUCCAGAUUCCUACGGGAGGCAGCAGUUGGGAAUAUUGCAAAAUGGUCGCAAGCAUGAUGCAGCCAUGCCGCGUGUAUGAAGAAGGCCUUCGGGUUGUAAAGUACUUUCAGCGGGGAGACGUUACCCGCAGAAGAAGCACCGGCUAACUCCGUGCCAGCAGCCGCGGUAAUAC
rnacentral:rRNA from 1 species